rnacentral:rRNA from 1 species
GUGGGGAAUUUUGGACAAUGGGCGCAAGCCUGAUCCAGCAAUGCCGCGUGCAGGAAGAAGGCCUUCGGGUUGUAAACUGCUUUUGUACGGAACGAAACGGUCUGGAUUAAUACCCUGGGCUAAUGACGGUACCGUAAGAAUAAGCACCGGCUAACUACGUGCCAGCAGCCGCGGUAAUACGUAGGGUGCAAGCGUUAAUCGGAAUUACUGGGCGUAAAGCGUGCGCAGGCGGUUUUGUAAGACAGGCGUGAAAUCCCCGGGCUCAACCUGGGAAUUGCGCUUGUGACUGCAAGGCUGGAGUGCGGCAGAGGGGGAUGGAAUUCCGCGUGUAGCAGUGAAAUGCGUAGAUAUGCGGAGGAACACCGAUGGCGAAGGCAAUCCCCUGGGCCUGCACUGACGCUCAUGCACGAAAGCGUGGGGAGCAAACAGGAUUAGAAACCCUGGUAGUCC